rnacentral:rRNA from 1 species
GUAGGGUGCAAGCGUUAAUCGGAAUUACUGGGCGUAAAGCGUGCGCAGGCGGUUUUGUAAGUCUGUCGUGAAAGCCCCGGGCUCAACCUGGGAAUUGCGAUGGAGACUGCAAGGCUUGAAUCUGGCAGAGGGGGGUAGAAUUCCACGUGUAGCAGUGAAAUGCGUAGAGAUGUGGAGGAACACCGAUGGCGAAGGCAGCCCCCUGGGUCAAGAUUGACGCUCAUGCACGAAAGCGUGGGGGGAGCAAACAGGAUUAGAUACCCUGGUAGUCCACGCCCUAAACGAUGUCUACUAGUUGUCGGGUUUUAAUUAACUUGGUAACGCAGCUAACGCGUGAAGUAGACCGCCUGGGGAGUACGGUCGCAAGAUUA